GACGAACGCUGGCGGCGUGCUUAACACAUGCAAGUCGAACGGAAAGGCCCUGCUUUUGUGGGGUGCUCGAGUGGCGAACGGGUGAGUAACACGUGAGUAACCUGCCCUUGACUUUGGGAUAACUUCAGGAAACUGGGGCUAAUACCGGAUAGGAGCUCCUGCUGCAUGGUGGGGGUUGGAAAGUUUCGGCGGUUGGGGAUGGACUCGCGGCUUAUCAGCUUGUUGGUGGGGUAGUGGCUUACCAAGGCUUUGACGGGUAGCCGGCCUGAGGGGGUGACCGGCCACAUUGGGACUGCGGUACGGCCCAGCCUCCUACGGGAGGCAGCAGUGGGGAAUAUUGCACAAUGGGCGGAAGCCUGAUGCAGCAACGCCGCGUGCGGGAUGACGGCCUUCGGGUUGUAAACCGCUUUCGCCUGUGACGAAGCGUGAGUGACGGUAAUGGGUAAAGAAGCACCGGCUAACUACGUG
rnacentral:rRNA from 1 species